GACAUAGGGUGCAAACGUUGUUCGGAUUUACUGGGCGUAAAGCGCGUGUAGGCGGCUUUGCAAGUCGGAUGUGAAAGCCCACGGCUCAACCGUGGAAGUGCAUCCGAAACUGCAUGGCUGGAGUCUCGGAGAGGAAGGUGGAAUGCUUGGUGUAGAGGUGAAAUUCGUAGAUAUCAAGCAGAACACCUGCGGCGAAGGCGGCCUUCUGGACGAUGACUGACGCUGAGACGCGAAAGCGUGGGGAGCAAACAGG
rnacentral:rRNA from 1 species